rnacentral:lncRNA from 1 species
CAGAGUCAAAUAACAAUAAGUCAUAAAAUGUAGUAAUUGAUUCAAGACGAUGGAACAACAGAAACACUAGCCACUAUUCUUUCCAUUUACAAAAGUGAACAAUUGUGUCUGUCCCUUACAAGAAACUACAAACAAAAUAACAAAAUUCACUCAUUUUAACACCUAGAAAUCUAACAAAAAGUGUAUAUUAGAGACUACAUGCAUGAGAACCCUGCACUUUUUAGCAUCUUGUGUGUGAGUGAAUAACAAACAAAGAUAACUACUUUUUUCUUUCUAAACCAAGACAUCUCCCGC